AAUAUUAAAUUAUUCUUGGCACAAUUUUACAAACCAAACGAGCUUGUCCCAUAUCGACCAGAUAGUAAGCAAAACUUUACUUUAUAAUACGCAAAACCGAACCGUCGGUCACGACCUUACUUGAACAGGAUCUGUUCUAUCGGAUCGUACCUCUGUAUCCUUGCUCACUAAGGAGACAGGACCCCAAACCUGGUGGAUGAACCAUGGCCGUGCGAUCAGAGCGUGAUUAACGGCCUUGAUCCUUCUGAUAGAUGGAUCACACUGUAGAGGAUCGUUCUCAGCUUGGGCUCGCCCAGCUUGGGAUGGUCGUACGGCUGUCUGACAGGUUCCCAAAAUCUUUUUGCUAGUGAGUGCAACAUUUUUUUGAACACAAGUUGUUUGAUAAAAUUCCCAAGUGACGUUCUGUUCUUAUUUCCAUGUUCACAAGUUGUUUGUGUAUUAUUAUUGGUGAUUUUUUGUUGCAAUUAUAUUGUGUUAUAGACAUUCUGCACCUGAGCUGAGCGUUGUGGGUAUGUACUGUUUUAUAUCUGAUUGCCUGUUGUUUAAUUCAGGUAAUAUAUCUAGUUUUCUAGUAAUACUUUUACACUGCUUAUUGUUGGCAAUGUGUUCAUGUGUUUGGAGAUGCUAGUGUUUGCUUCUCAAAUGUAUUGGAUGCCCUUGUUUACAUAUCCAUUUGCAUGUCUGCACCCAUUUGUUUUGACGUAUCAUAUACCUUCAUUAUAUUGAGUUACAUUCUGCACAUGAGAGAUCAAACUUAUCCAAAAAAAGAGACAAAGAGAAAUGACAUUAGAGAUCACAGUCAAUACCUCUUUUAUCUUUUAUUGAGAAAAAUAUGAGCAUCAAAGUGAGUAACAAUCAUAUGUCAUGCUAUGGGGUUUCUUUGUCUUAGGUGGUCGACCUCUCUCCCUCUUUCCAUAAAUCUGUAUUUAUUUUGCUUCUUAUAGAUGUUUUUUUCUGGAACAAUGAUCAAGAACAUUGGAUAUGCAUCUCCUUCUAGUCACAAGGAGGCCUCCACCUGUGUCUCUCUGUGCCUCCCUCUGUCUGUGUUCACUUCUUGAUGUUCAUAUGCUUGCUCUUAUGUGUCUGCAUUUGCUUAUGUACAUGCAAACUUUGGACUUUGCAGUCUCUUAUUCUGCAGUAGAGUAAGUGUUCCAUUGAGGAUAAAUUUAAAUGCACUCUCUUGGGAAUUAAACUUUGGUGAUAUACAUAUCGUUUUUAUGAUUAAAAAAAUGUUUAGUGUAACUAUUUUUGUCUAAAUCUUUCUUCCUGCAGAUUGGGAAUAUAUUUUAUCCUUGCUCAUUCACAGUAUUGGAUUCUCCCAAACCCAAUAUGGAAUUCCUCUUUGGGCUGGAUAUGCUCCGGAAGCACCAGGAAGCAUACCCUUUCUAAUAACUGAUGAACCUUUUCGUUUUCUUAGUUCUAAUUGAUGUUAUUUAGGUUUGUUAUUCUUUUCUGACUUAAUCAAAGUCUGCAUUGCAUUAUAGAUUUAAAGGAUAAUGUUUUGAGAGUUGGUUGGGGGGGGGGGGGGGGGGAGUUUCUGCACCAUUUUCGCAAGGUUGGCCUUCUAAUCUCUCCAUGUGCUUACUGUUCAAUAAUUGAACAAUUUCUGCAGUUAUUCCUGAAUUGCUUUAUUUACAAUUCACCAAUUAUCUAAAUAACUUUUAUGGACAACCUUUUUGAUAAAUAGAAAAUUAACUAAUUAAAUAGUGCAUUGUUUUCCGAAAAAGUCAUCCCAUUACACUUUCUUGAUGAAGAAAGGUUGUCCAAGCAAGCAUCCAGCUCAGGGACCCCAAUGACAUCAGGAACAACAGAUAGAAGCCACAUUGUCCCAACAGGGGGGUCUCAUGGUGAUACGAACCUGGGACCUGAUUUUGAAGUCAAAGUGGCAAAGCUUGUUGAGCUAGGGUUUAGAAGGGAAGCUGUCAUACAAGCUCUUAAAUUAUUUGAUGGAAAUGAAGAUCAGGCAGCAAAGUUUCUUUUUGGGGGUUGAAGUUAACAUUUAUUUUUAGACUUCAUUUUUUCUGGAAUAAUGUUUGGUUCGGUAAUGUAAUUACAAAUUAACAAAUUGAAAUUUGUGUACUUGAUACUGACAGCAUUCCUUUAAAGCUAUUUUGAACCCUGAAAUUGGUGUUGUAACUUGCAAUUCAAAUGAGAGAGUAAACAAAUUUCA